rnacentral:misc_RNA from 1 species
GAUGAAGAACGCAGUGAAAUGCGAUAAGUAAUGUGAAUUGCAGAAUUCAGUGAAUCAUCGAAUCUUUGAACGCACAUUGUGCCCCUUGGUAUUCCGAGGGGCAUGCCUGUUCGAGCGUCAUUAUAACCCCUCAAGCUCAGCUUGGUGUUGGGGCCUGCUGCACUGGCAGCCCUUAAAAUCAGUGGCGGCGCCAUCUGGCUCUAAGCGUAGUAAUUCUUCUCGCUAUGGAGUCCUGGUGGAUGCUUGCCAUCAACCCCCAAUUUUUCUAUGGUUGACCUCGGAUCAGGUAGGGAUACCCGCUGAACUUAAGCAUAUCAAUAAGCGGAGGA